rnacentral:rRNA from 1 species
CAGAACGAACGCUGGCGGCAGGCCUAACACACGCAAGUCGAGCGGGGACUUCGGUCCUAGCGGCGGACGGGUGAGUAACGCGUGGGAACGUGCCCUUUGCUUCGGAAUAGCCCCUGGAAACGGGGAGUAAUACCGGAUGUGCCCUAUGGGGGAAAGAAUUUCGGCAAAGGAUCGGCCCGCGUUGGAUUAGGUAGUUGGUGGGGUAAUGGCCUACCAAGCCGACGAUCCAUAGCUGGUUUGAGAGGAUGAUCAGCCACACUGGGACUGAGACACGGCCCAGACUCCUACGGGAGGCAGCAGUGGGGAAUCUUAGACAAUGGGCGCAAGCCUGAUCUAGCCAUGCCGCGUGAGCGAUGAAGGCCUUAGGGUUGUAAAGCUCUUUCGUGGGGGAAGAUAAUGACGGUACCCCAAGAAGAAGCCCCGGCUAACUCCGUG